UUCAAGGUGCUGGGGCACAGGCAGAAUGGUCCUGCUGAGUGGUUAUUUUUGUUUGCUUGGCUCCUUAAAUUUUGGAAUCAGCAAAUUCCUAGAAAUUUUAGUUUAGAGUCUUAAUCAGCUCUAUUUUAAAGUACCAUUCAUAUUAAUAGUUUUAGAAAGUAAAUUACAAUAAUAAGAAACUGACCAGCUAUUUUGGAAUAAUCAUCUUGUUAAGCUGCAACUUAACCCUGACCAUCGUGAAAUGGGCCGAAGGAAGACAAUUGAAUUGUGUCUGCCGCCUACUCUGAGGACUGUAUUACCUGAUGGAAAGACAUGAACUCUUCACACAGUCAGAGAUGCUGAGAUCCGACACUUAGUGUGCCUUAACUUAGCUGUCCUGCAUAUUUGUACAAGGCAUAGUAAAACAUCAUUUGGAGGACAACACAGAAAUGUUUAAAAUCUUUCAUGGCCUUUAGGGGAAUCAUACUACCCACAGUGUGGUUUAAAUCAAGGAAGACAACAGAAGGAUCUGGAAGAGGAAAGCAGUGACUCCAUUGGAUUUAGUUAAAUAUGAAGAGGUGUUUGCCAAUAAGCAGAUAGAUGUAAGCAAAGAAGGAGGAAGGCAAAGAUGGCUGCCAGUGUAUUCUAUGCUCUGGGUCCACUCACAAGGAGAGUGUACAAGAGGCUGGACCAGAUGCUGGGAACUGUAAUGGACUAUAUUUCUGUGAGUUAUAGAAUAAAGAGUCUGCACUAGGACAGAGAUGCUCAUUCCUCCCAUGUGCUGACUAAGCUGGACUAGAAGGUCUCCAGAAAUCAUUGUCACCAACAGCCAAUGAGUACCCAAAGGAAGAGGUCAAUAUUAACUACCAAGUUCUAGAAGGAAAAAAGAAAACAACACACCAGGAAAUGCUGCCCUGUCCCCUUCCUGAUCCUUUUUUUUUCACACUCGAUAUUAGAGGGAUCUGUAAGUACCAGCUAUAAGUAGUUGGGGCAGAAAGCAAAGGCCGAAAUCUAGCUUAGAGCUUUCUACCAAGCACUAGAAGCUACUGUUUCAAAGUUAGCAGAAAGAAAGAAACUAUCUCAUUAUCUAUUUAUCAAUCUAU